rnacentral:rRNA from 1 species
CCUACGGGAGGCAGCAGUGAGGAAUAUUGGUCAAUGGCCGGAAGGCUGAACCAGCCAUGCCGCGUGAAGGUCAGUGCCCUAUGGGCGUUAAACUUCUUUUGUGCGGGAGCAAUAAUGGUCACGUGUGGCCAGACGAGAGUGCCGUUCGCAUAAGCAUCGGCUAACUACGUGCCAGCAGCAGCGGUAAUACGGGGGAUGCAAGCGUUAGCCGGAUUUAUUGGGUUUAAAGGGGGCGUAGGCUGUGUGGUAAGGCAGCGGGGAAAUGCCCCCGCUCAACGGGGUGAAGUGCCAUUGAUACUGCCUGGCUGGAGUGCGGAUGCGGUGGGAGGAAUGUGUGGUGUAGCGGUGAAAUGCAUAGAUAGCACACAGAACACCGAUUGCGAAGGCAUCUCACGAGUCCGCGAUUGACGCUGAGGCACGAAAGCGUGGGUAGCAAACAGGAUUAGAUACCCUAGUAGUC